GGGUGCAAGCGUUACUCGGAAAUCCACUGGGCGUAAAGAGCGUGUAGGCGGGUAUAUAAGUCAGAAGUGAAAAUCCAAUAGCUUAACUAUUGAACUGCUUUUGAAACUGUAUACCUAGAAUGUGGGAGAGGUAGAUGGAAUUUCUGGUGUAGGGGUAAAAUCCGUAGAGAUCAGAAGGAAUACCGAUUGCGAAGGCGAUCUACUGGAACAUUAUUGACGCUGAGACGCGAAAGCGUGGGGAGCAAACAGGAUUAGAUACCCUGGUAGUCCACGCCCUAAACGAUGCACACUAGUUGUUGUGAGGCUCGACCUUGCAGUAAUGCAGUUAACACAUUAAGUGUGCCGCCUGGGGAGUACGGUCGCAAGAUUAAAACUCAAAGGAAUUGACGGGGA
rnacentral:rRNA from 1 species